rnacentral:rRNA from 1 species
UGGGGAAUCUUGCGCAAUGCGCGAAGGCGUGACGCAGCAACGCCGCGUGGGGGAAGACGGCCUUCGGGUUGUAAACCCCUUUCAGUUGGGACGAAGCUCCGUCGGUUAAUAGCCGACCGGAGUGACGGUACCUUCAGAAGAAGCCCCGGCUAACUACGUGCCAGCAGCCGCGGUAAUACGUAGGGGGCAAGCGUUGGCCGGAAGCAUUGGGCGUAAAGCGCGUGUAGGCGGUUCGGUAAGUCCGACGUGAAAGUCCAGGGCUCAACCCUGGAAUGCCGUUGGAUACUGCCGAGCUAGAGUCCGGAAGGGGCGAGUGGAAUUCCUGGUGUAGCGGUGAAAUGCGCAGAUAUCAGGAGGAACACCAAUGGCGAAGGCAGCUCGCUGGGACGGUACUGACGCUGAGACGCGAAAGCGUGGGGAGCAAAC